rnacentral:rRNA from 1 species
GAUGAACGCUAGCUACAGGCUUAACACAUGCAAGUCGCGGGGCAGCAUGGGGGUUGCUUGCAAUCCCCGAUGGCGACCGGCGCACGGGUGAGUAACGCGUAUCCAACCUGCCCUUCACCACGGGAUAACCCGGCGAAAGUCGGACUAAUACCGUAUGUUGUCCAUUGACGGCAUCCGAUUUGGACGAAAGGUUUGGCGGUGAAGGAUGGGGAUGCGUCCGAUUAGCUGGACGGCGGGGUGACGGCCCACCGUGGCGACGAUCGGUAGGGGUUCUGAGAGGAAGGGCCGCCACAGGGGAACUGAGACACGGUCCAGACUCCUACGGGAGGCAGCAGUGAGGAAUAUUGGUCAAUGGGCGUAAGCCUGAACCAGCCAAGUAGCGUGCAGGAUGACGGCCCUAUGGGUUGUAAACUGCUUUUAUGCGGGGAUAAAGUGGCCCACGUGUGGGUUUUUGCAGGUACCGCAUGAAUAAGGACCGGCUAAUUCCGUG